rnacentral:sRNA from 1 species
GUUGGUUAAAUCUAGACUUAAGAGGCUCUGCUCCUCAGAAGUUGGACUUCUGAAAAAUGCUGAACGAGAACAAGAAUCAGAAGAAGAAAUGUGACUUUGAUGAGCUUCCAAUUUUUCUAGAUAAACCUUUUCUUUUUUACA